rnacentral:rRNA from 1 species
AGGAAAUUGAUUGCUUAUUGCACCACAUGUGUUUUUCUUUGAAACAAACUUGCUUUGGCGGUGGGCCCAGCCUGCCGCCAGAGGUCUAAACUUACAACCAAUUUUUUAUCAACUUGUCACACCAGAUUAUUACUAAUAGUCAAAACUUUCAACAACGGAUCUCUUGGUUCUCGCAUCGAUGAAGAACGCAGCGAAAUGCGAUACGUAAUAUGAAUUGCAGAUAUUCGUGAAUCAUCGAAUCUUUGAACGCACAUUGCGCCCUCUGGUAUUCCGGAGGGCAUGCCUGUUUGAGCGUCGUUUCUCCCUCAAACCGCUGGGUUUGGUGUUGAGCAAUACGACUUGGGUUUGCUUGAAAGACGGUAGUGGUAAGGCGGGAUCGCUUUGACAAUGGCUUAGGUCUAACCAAAAACAUUGCUUGCGGCGGUAACGUCUACCACGUAUAUCUUCAAACUUUGACCUCAAAUCAGGUAGGACUACCCGCUGAACUUAAGCAUAUCAAUAAGCCGGAGGAA